rnacentral:rRNA from 1 species
GGACUAGCAUGAACGGCUAAAUGAGGAUUAAACUGUCUCUUGUAAUCAACCUAUGAAACUGAUCUUGUAGUUCAAAAGCUAUAAUACAAACACCAGACGAGAAGACCCUGUGGAGCUUUUAAACCAAAGCCAAAUUAAUGCCCCCUUGGUUUUUAGUUGGGGCAACUUCGGAGCACAAAAAAACCUCCGAAUAAACCACAAAUCGAGACAAACAAAUCAAAACUCAUACUUGACCCAAUAGUUUAACCUAAACUAUUUGACCAAUGAACCAAGUUACCCCAGGGAUAACAGCGCUAUCCUCUUUUAGAGUCCCUAUCGACAAGAGGGCUUACGACCUCGAUGUUGGAUCAGGACACCCCAAUAAUGCAGCCGUUAUUAAAGGUUCGUUUGUUCAACGAUUAA